CACAUUCUUGUAGCACCCAUGACCCCAGAACAAUAUCACAUUCUUGUAGCACCCAUGACCCCAGAACAAUAGGGUUCUUAGCCACUCAUGUUCAUACAAUCAUCAAAAAUCAUGUUUUCAAACAUAGAAUCAAUGAUAUUGGAAAAGGAAUGGAAGAAUUGAUCAAAUCCGUGCUCCCGAGUGAUCAAACUUGUUCUCUUAACCUUACAACAUAUAUCAAAAUAUCCCUACACCUUCUCGUAGCUUCGACCCUUUGAAACCCUAACCCCUCCGGCGAGUCACUCCUGCAAGGCACUCUGUCAAGGCUCUAGCACAUCUCUUCAACCUCACAGAGCCUAGGGAAAGUAAUAUUGUGGUAGCGAUGAAGAGUCAAGGUCUGGUUCUUUCAGGUUUCCCUUCUUGAAGGGCGUGCUUUAUGGUGCAAGAGUCCCUUUCCUCUGAGAUCCAUGUAGCUGCCACCAGCUGAAGUGAGACCAUCAAUGUUCUCUCUGCUUGGUGUGGUUGAUGAAGAGGAUACGGGAGAAGAAGAAAGUGAUGAAAAAGAGAUUAAAAUGACUAAUGAAUGCUACUACGAAGAUGGAUCUUCAGAUGUAGACAUAGGUGGUGGUGAAGGCUAGUAUUCCCCGAGAGGCAAUUUAUUUUCGAAAAUAAUACAGAGAGGAAAAGCUCUUGAGGUAGAUCGGAUGAGCAAAGAGUGGAUGAAAGCGGCAAAAAUAUUGCUUAGAGUUAUGGAAUUAUUUUGAAUGUAUCAAGAUAUUUUAGGAAUAUUUUAUUUUGGAUUUUCAAUACUUUGAGAGCUUAUGUAUGCUUUUGAAUUUUUAGACAAUAGUAUAAAGUUUGUUUUUAUGGAAAGUCUAAAUAAAUUGUUGCAAUA